GAUCAUGGCUCAGAUUGAACGCUGGCGGCAUGCCUUACACAUGCAAGUCGAACGGUAACGGGCCUUCGGGUGCCGACGAGUGGCGAACGGGUGAGUAAUGCAUCGGAACGUACCUUUCAGUGGGGGAUAACGUAGCGAAAGUUACGCUAAUACCGCAUAUUCUGUGAGCAGGAAAGCAGGGGAUCGCAAGACCUUGCGCUGAUUGAGCGGCCGAUGUCAGAUUAGCUAGUUGGUGAGGUAAAGGCUCACCAAGGCGACGAUCUGUAGCGGGGUCUGAGAGGAUGAUCCGCCACACUGGAACUGAGACACGGUCCAGACUCCUACGGGAGGCAGCAGUGGGGAAUUUUGGACAAUGGGGCAACCCUGAUCCAGCCAUGCCGCGUGAGUGAAGAAGGCCUUCGGGUUGUAAAGCUCUUUCGGCCGGGAAGAAAUCGCAUGGGUUAAUACCCUGUGCGGAUGACGGUACCGGCAUAAGAAGCACCGGCUAACUACGUG
rnacentral:rRNA from 1 species